rnacentral:rRNA from 1 species
AUUGAACGCUGGCGGCAGGCCUAACACAUGCAAGUCGAACGGUAACAGGAAGCAGCUUGCUGCUUUGCUGACGAGUGGCGGACGGGUGAGUAAUGUCUGGGAAACUGCCUGAUGGAGGGGGAUAACUACUGGAAACGGUAGCUAAUACCGCAUAACGUCGCAAGACCAAAGAGGGGGACCUUCGGGCCUCUUGCCAUCGGAUGUGCCCAGACGGGAUUAGCUAGUAGGUGGGGUAACGGCUCACCUAGGCGACGAUCCCUAGCUGGUCUGAGAGGAUGACCAGCCACACUGGAACUGAGACACGGUCCAGACUCCUACGGGAGGCAGCAGUGGGGAAUAUUGCACAAUGGGCGCAAGCCUGAUGCAGCCAUGCCGCGUGUAUGAAGAAGGCCUUCGGGUUGUAAAGUACUUUCAGCGGGGAGGAAGGGAGUAAAGUUAAUACCUUGGCUCAUUGACGUUACCCGCAGAAGAAGCACCGGCUAACUCCGUG